ACAUCUAGUAUCCAUAGUUUACGGCUAGGACUACUGGGGUAUCUAAUCCCAUUUGCUACCCUAGCUUUCGUCUCUGAGUGUUAGUAAUAGCCCAGUAAAGUGCUUUCGCCAUCGGUGUUCUUUCCAAUAUCUACGCAUUUCACCGCUCCACUGGAAAUUCCCUUUACCUCUACUAUACUCUAGUCUAAUAGUUUCGACUGCGAUUUUGAAGUUGAGCCUCAAGAUUUAACAGUUGACUUAUUAAACCACCUACAGACGCUUUACGCCCAGUGAUUCCGGAUAACACUUGCAUCCUCCGUCUUACCGCGGCUGCUGGCACGGAGUUAGCCGAUGCUUAUUCUUCAGGUACACGUCAUUUAUUCCUCCCUGAAAAAAGAGGUUUACAACCCAUAGGCAGUCUUCCCUCACGCUGUAUUGCUCCGUCAGGCUUUCGCCCAUUGCGGAAAAUUCCCCACUACUGCCUCCCGUAGGAGUCUGGACCGUGUCUCAGUUCCAGUGUGUCUGGUCGUCCUCUCAAACCAGAUACUGAUCGUCGCCUUGGUAAGCUCUUACCUUACCAACAAGCUAAUCAGCCGCGAGCUUCUCUCUAGGCGGAUAAAUAUAAAUCCAUUUCACUCGAAAGCAUAUGGGGUAUUAGCAUUCGUUUCCAAUUGUUGUCCCCCUCCUAAAGGCAAAUUCUCACGUGUUACUCACCCGUCCGCCACUAAAGUUAAAAACUUUCGUACGACUUGCAUGUGUUAGGCAUACAGCCAGCGUUCAUCCUGAGCCAGGAUCAAACUCU
rnacentral:rRNA from 1 species